GUGGGGAAUAUUGGACAAUGGGCGAAAGCCUGAUCCAGCCAUGCCGCGUGUGUGAAGAAGGUCUUCGGAUUGUAAAGCACUUUAAGUUGGGAGGAAGGGCAGUAAGUUAAUACCUUGCUGUUUUGACGUUACCGACAGAAUAAGCACCGGCUAACUUCGUGCCAGCAGCCGCGGUAAUACGAAGGGUGCAAGCGUUAAUCGGAAUUACUGGGCGUAAAGCGCGCGUAGGUGGUUUUGUAAGUUGGAGGUGAAAUCCCCGGGCUCAACCUGGGAACUGCCUCCAAAGCUGCAUGACUAGAGUACGGUAGAGGGUAGUGGAAUUUCCUGUGUAGCGGUGAAAUGCGUAGAUAUAGGAAGGAACACCAGUGGCGAAGGCGACUACCUGGACUGAUACUGACACUGAGGUGCGAAAGCGUGGGGAGCAAACAGGAUUAGAAACCCGUGUAGUCC
rnacentral:rRNA from 1 species